rnacentral:miRNA from 1 species
GGAGGAGGACGCAGCCAUGUGC